GAUGAAGAACGUAGCGAAAUGCGAUAAGUAGUGUGAAUUGCAGAAUUCAGUGAAUCAUCGAAUCUUUGAACGCACAUUGCGCCCCUUGGUAUCCCGAGGGGCAUGCCUGUUCGAGCGUCAUUUCACCACUCAAGCCUGGCUUGGUGUUGGGCGACGUCCUCUUUGGGGACGCGCCUCGAAACGCUCGGCGGCGUGGCACCGGCUUUAAGCGUAGCAGAAUCUUUCGCUUUGGAAGUCGGGGCCCCGUCUGCCGGAAGACCUGCUCGCAAGGUUGACCUCGGAUCAGGCUGGGAUACCCGCUGAACUUAAGCAUAUCAAUAAGCGGAGGA
rnacentral:misc_RNA from 1 species